UCCUUAAACUUUUUUGGGUUGAAAAAGUUCUCAAAAGUAGUUAAAUUAUGAAGUUCUAUGUUGCGUUUACAAAAUCCAUUGGUUUUAUAAUAUUUUCUAAAUAUGUUCUUGACAAAAUUGUCGAGAAAAUAAACACGAGUCUAUAUUGUUUCGUUUAAAUUAGUAAUAAUUAUUAAUUUAUUUAUUUUUUGUAGGGAAGAUUUUGUCUACUUUGUAGAACUUUGUUUUAAGAGUUUUGGAGAUCGAG
rnacentral:lncRNA from 1 species